UACGUAGGGUGCAAGCGUUGUCCGGAAUUAUUGGGCGUAAAGAGCUCGUAGGCGGUUUGUCGCGUCUGCCGUGAAAAUCCGGGGCUCAACCCCGGACUUGCGGUGGGUACGGGCAGACUAGAGUGUGGUAGGGGAGACUGGAAUUCCUGGUGUAGCGGUGAAAUGCGCAGAUAUCAGGAGGAACACCGAUGGCGAAGGCAAUCCCCUGGGCCUGCACUGACGCUCAUGCACGAAAGCGUGGGGAGCAAACAGG
rnacentral:rRNA from 1 species